AUUAGGGGAUCUUCCGUUAAAUUCGCCCACGUCCUGUGGGCAACACGGAAGUCAUCACAUCCUGUGAA
rnacentral:sRNA from 1 species